rnacentral:lncRNA from 10 species
GUGGCGCGGCUGCUGGUGCCCGCGGCCGGGCGGCUGAGCUGGGCGGAGGGCUGCGGGCAUGGAGUCGCCGCUCGCGGACAGUCUUUGCUGGAGCCCCAGGUCAGAAGUGUGUCCUCGCCUCGGCCACGGCUGUAGCCUGGGCAGCCACAGGGCGCUCCACCGAGGGACACUCUCUGUCGCAGACUGCAGCCGCUUGGGAGACGUUUAGGGCUCGGCGGGUUUCCUGCGGUUGGCGGUGCCGGGGCCCACCUGGAGCCGGGACGCAUGCGGAGUCCUGAGUGCCCUGAGCCCCGCGCGGGCUCCUGCGGGACGGGCGGCGUCGGCCCCGGCAGGGCGAGCCAAGCUCCCAGCAGUGCCAAGCUGCCCAGCGAGGCUAAGCAAUCACGGGGCUUCGAGAAAGAACGCGCGCGUGUGUGGAAGUUUUAAAUGCCACGAAGUGCAGAGUGCAGGACAUUUUCCAACAAGUUUACAUAGUGGGUGGGAUUUGUGUAAAUUAGAAUUGAAUUUAAAACUGGAAGUCACAUCGAAGAAGGCAGGACCACUGUUGUAAAUCCGAUGCUUCCUCCACCUGCACCUGAGUCUUAGGCCAAUUACAGGUCUCUCGUCCUAAAACGUCCUAAAAUGCUCCUUUCUGGAAGGAUGGCAUGGUCUCUGCACGAGAGAGAACGAAGGCUUCACUCAAACCUGAGAGGUGGUUUGUGGCACGGGCCAACCCCCUCUACCUCUCUAAAAGAUUCAUUCUCAUUCAUUCUCUCUCUCUCCCCUCCCCCUCUCCCCUUCCCUCUCUCCCCCUUUCUCCCACUCUCUCCCGGAUUGUAAGUAACCGUGUCAGGGUAUUGGGGGCCCGUGUCAAGGUCCGCAGAAUAUAAAAAGUUUGAAAACCACUGAUUUGAGAUAACAUUCCACUUUUACAGACUAAAAAUACGGAUGCAAGCCCACGACUAAUUGAAUAGAAUUUUUCUCGUGGAGGCCCAAGAAAGUGUAUUUUUAGAGAGGACCUUGAAUGAAUCUAAUGUGCCUUCAAGAGCUGAGAACCGUUAGAUUCCCUGCCCCUUCUUUCUUACAGAUAUAGAUACUUUUCCUAGAAUUGCGCACUCAGGACUCCCUGAGACUUCCAGUGAUUCUGCCGCAGCAUAGAAGAGUGGUUUAAGAACUGAGGCGCUCUGCCCUUGCGAUAGUUUGCUGAGAAUGAUGGUUUCCAGCUUCAUCCAUGUCCGUACAAAGGACAUGAACUCAUCCUUUUUUAUGGCUGCAUAGUAUUCCGUGGUGUAUAUGUGCCACAGUUGUGCACAUGUGCCCUAGAACUUAAAGUAUAUAUAAAGAAAAAAAAAGAACUGAGGCGCUCACGGGAUGAGUGCCAAUUCUUGCUCUGACACUCAGUGGCUGUGUCGACUCUGUGCCUUAUUUUCUGGUGUGUAAAGUGGAAGUCUUAAUUGUACCUACCUAAAUAAGGUUGGCAGGCACAUUGUAAGAACUGUGCGAAGCGUUUAUUACAUAAAUAAACCAGCUUAAUUCGUAACUCUUUAAAGGGAAUUUUCCAAGAGUUGGAAUUUUUUUUUUAAUUUUUUAUUUCUUUCUUUAUUUUUUGAGAUGGAG